AGAGAAAUCAUAUGGUGAUUUUGAACAAUAUUUCUUGGGCCACAUAUUUUCAACUUAUUUUUGUUAUCAGUAACUGACUGUCUACCUUAAGCAGUUCAUACAGUUCUUAUUUAUUUAUACCCUGACUUAUUCCAGAAAGAACCAGAGUCAGCUCAAGGUUCUCAGCAGAAGCUCAAGCAGAAUUGGCAAAUAACACUUACUGCUCUAAUCACAGAUUUAUAAAUGCCAACUACCCUUGGAUACAAAAGAGUGGCUCAGGUGACUGCAUUCAACAAGGAGUCAGUGGCAAGCUACAGGAGCAAAGAAGAAAGCACAAAGUACGUAAUACUUUGUGAUCUAAGAAGAUCAGUCUGUUCGCUUGAAGAAAAAAACAUGGAUCUGAAUAGUGGGACAGGCCAAAGCAUUUCUAUUUUGUACUUCAAGCAGAAGAUGGUAUCACUGAUAGAAGAGCAGGUACUACAUCUCAAGAACUGGUAAACAAGGACCACUGAUGAAGGUAAGAAAAAGCUGAAUGAGUCCCAAACUUUUUCCACUAAUAAGCCUCACUACCUCCUGUUUUCUAAACUAAUGGUUCUCAAACUUGAAUCUGAGUCAGAAUUCUCUGAAUUACUUGUUAUUCAGCCAGUGAUGGCUGGCCCUAACCCUAGAGUUUGAUUCAAUACCUCUGAGAUGGGGCCCGAGAUUUUGUAUUUCUAACAAUUUACCAGAUGAUACUAAAUGGUAGUUUUGAGGACCACACUUUGAGAACCACUGUCUAAACCAUUUUUAAUCCAUGACUUUUGAUGUGAGACCCCAGUCUAUAACCUCCCAAAGUCCUUCAACAUAAUGCAAUCACUUUAGAAAAAUUGCACAUUUGAAUACUACCAAAACAUAGCUUUUGAUCUUAGGAAUCUGGCCUGGCAAAAUGGACCUGAGUGGGUUUAUAAAUUAAGGGCUCAAGACCCUCAGGAUAGCAGGUGCAUAUAAUAAAGCUACUCAUAACCAUCCAAAUUAAUAAUCACUGAGGCUUAGUAGUAGGCCUGAAAAUUCCCAAUGUGACCCUAACCUGAGUUCCUGAGACAUUCAUAGAAACACAAUGGACACCAACUGAACCCUGGGGAGUAACUAUGCACCUGAGUUGCUUGACAACAUCAACACCAUAUUUCAAGUUCUCCACAGAAGACUAAAGCCUUGCUACUCAAAGCAUGGUCAGUGGACCAGCAGAAUGGGCACCACCUGGGAGCUGGUUAAGAGGCCACAUUUUCAAGUCCACCCCUGCCCUAACAAUCAGAAUUCACACUUUACCAAGGUUCACAGCUGAUCCCCAGACACAUUAAGGUUUGAGAAGCUAGCUGGACUAAAGGAUGU